AGCGAACGCUGGCGGCAGGCUUAACACAUGCAAGUCGAACGGUAACAGGUUAAGCUGACGAGUGACGAACGGGUGAGUAAUGCAUCGGAACGUGCCCGAUCGUGGGGGAUAACGCAGCGAAAGCUGCGCUAAUACCGCAUACGAUCUGAGGAUGAAAGCGGGGGACCGUAAGGCCUCGCGCGAUCGGAGCGGCCGAUGUCAGAUUAGGUAGUUGGUGGGGUAAAGGCCCACCAAGCCGGCGAUCUGUAGCUGGUCUGAGAGGACGACCAGCCAAACUGGGACUGAGACACGGCCCAGACUCCUACGGGGGGCAGCAGUGGGGAAUUUUGGACAAUGGGGGCAACCCUGAUCCAGCCAUUCCGCGUGAGUGAAGAAGGCCUUCGGGUUGUAAAGCUCUUUCGCAAGGGAAGAAAACUUGCCAUCUAAUAUAUGGUGAGGUUGACGGUACCUUGAUAAGAAGCACCGGCUAACUACGUGCCAGCAGCCGCCGUAA
rnacentral:rRNA from 1 species